AUGAUACCUGGUUAUGUGGGAGUGAUGAAGCAUGAGAAGAGGAAGAAAGGCAGAAGUUUUAAGAAAAACACUGAAAUAACUUCUAGCAAUACUCUCAAGGAAGAGGAAACAAAUGCAUUUUUUGAGAAAGCAAUUUCCCACCUUUUCAUUUCGUUCAUAAAGUUGCUUGCUUGCUGCACUUAUAGUACUACAACUAGAAAGGGAAUUGGAUAUUGA